rnacentral:rRNA from 1 species
GACGUAGGAUGCGAGCGUUGUCCGGAUUUAUUGGGCGUAAAGAGUUCGUAGGUGGUUUGUUAAGUCUGAUGUUAAAGAUUGGGGCUCAACCCUGAAACUGCAUUGGAUACUGGCAGACUUGAGUGUGGUAGAGGCUAGUGGAAUUCCCAGUGUAGCGGUGAAAUGCGUAGAUAUUGGGAAGAACACCGGUGGCGUAGGCGACUAGCUAGGCCAUAACUGACACUGAGGAACGAAAGCCAGGGUAGCGAAUGGG